UACAGAGGGUGCAAGCGUUAAUCGGAUUUACUGGGCGUAAAGCGUGCGUAGGCGGUUCAGUAUGUCGGUCGUGAAAUCCCCGGGCUUAACCUGGGAACUGCGGCCGAAACUGCUGAGCUUGAGUGUGGUAGAGGAAGGUGGAAUUCCAGGUGUAGCGGUGAAAUGCGCAGAUAUCAGGAGGAACACCGAUGGCGAAGGCAGAUCUCUGGGCCGUAACUGACGCUGAGGAGCGAAAGCAUGGGGAGCGAACAGG
rnacentral:rRNA from 1 species